rnacentral:rRNA from 1 species
GGGGAAUAUUGGACAAUGGGGGCAACCCUGAUCCAGCCAUGCCGCGUGUGUGAAGAAGGCCUUCGGGUUGUAAAGCACUUUAAGCGGGGAGGAAGGCCUGAUGGCUAAUAUCCAUCGGGAUUGACGUUACCCGCAGAAUAAGCACCGGCAAACUUCGUGCCAGCAGCCGCGGUAAUACGAAGGGUGCGAGCGUUAAUCGGAAUUACUGGGCGUAAAGCGCGCGUAGGUGGUUAAGUAAGCGAUCUGUGAAAGCCCCGGGCUUAACCUGGGAACUGCAGGUCGAACUGCUUGGCUAGAGUAUGGUAGAGGGGUGUGGAAUUUCCUGUGUAGCGGUGAAAUGCGUAGAUAUAGGAAGGAACAUCAGUGGCGAAGGCGACACCCUGGACCGAUACUGACACUGAGGCGCGAAAGCGUGGGUAGCGAAC